AAAUUUCAUCUCGUCGACAACCGUCUGUAUAUCCUGUCUUCAUAUUGGGAAAAUCUCAGAUCUGAUGUCGAGCCUUUCGAGUUUGAUUCGAUCAACAUGUUAUCGAGGUAGAUCGGUAGACGAUCUACGUUUUGAUGUGGUUUUUUCUUUUGGAUCUAUCUAUUGGUCCUGUAUUUUUUUUUCAAAGAACUGAUUGGUUUGAUGUGAGUUGUUGAUUUCCGUCAUCGAUCUACCUUGAACGGUCAGCAUCUGAUUUAUCCGGCAUGGAUCUGUUGUCAACGUUUCAGAUCUGCAAUUUGCUGCUCGAUAGCAGAUUGGAAGGAGAGGGGAAGGGUUAAGCGUCUAUCGGGUCAUUGAAAGAUUCUAGAAUUAUGUUUUUCUUGUGAAGAGUCACCGGUCCCUAUGGUUGCCUGUUCGUUGUGGCUGGGUGACUUCCUAUGAUGGUCGUGAUUCAGUUGAAUUUACGGCUACGAAACGUUUGGUCCGCUUGUGUUGAUCAUCAGAAUCUAAGUCGGUCUCAUCUUUGUUAUCAAAGAUUGACUCGCUGGAACUCCAUGUUCAUGUACCUUUGGGAACUUGAAGUGUGGAAUUGACAUCCAGGUUUGUAUGUAGAGCAAGUAGUUGGAUGGAACGGGACUCGUUUGUUGUAGGAGCUGUGUAAGUCCUAUUGCCUCCUGUUAUCUAGCCUUUGCCAUGUUGGGUGCGCUCGCAUGGCAGGCCAUCAUAUCCUAAUAAAAGAAGAACAGUUUUUGUUUUGAGGGGAGGUCGCACGGGGUUUGCCCGGGAUCUCUCCUCUGGUGUGCGCCUUAUUUUGUGUGUGUGUGUGAAUUUGCGUUUAUGCGUUGGCGCUCUAUCGGUUCUCAAAGCCUCUUACAGUCCAAAUGUUCAAUCCGUGGCAACAGCAACAACCAUUAUCCAAGUGAACCCCCAUCAACAUUAAGCAUCACCUGAUUCUCAUCCAAAAGGUACUAUCUGUCAAACUGCUUGUCGUGGUCCUGUACAAUAUAUGUCGCAAAUUUUGGUCAAAUGAUAUGAUACAUCAUGGCUACUUAAUUGGCCUUUUGAACCAACAAUUUUUUUAAAUUGCACCACAAACAUUUUCGCCACAAGGCUCUAGUUUCAUGAGUAAGAGCUUUUUGUGCAAGUCACAUAAGACUACCUUUGACAUGCAUAAGAAACCUAUAAAUCUUCUGGAAUAUAAAUGACGACGAUGAUCCAACGGUGCUUUAUAAAUGGAUGUUGGUCUAAAAGAUAUAUCGUUAUUUGUUUUAACAGGUUCACAAUAAAUUUUGUUAGUCCUUUAAAUUUGGUUAUCAAACUUCUCCAUUCAACCGCCUCACAACAUUCAUAUAAAAUAGUUUCUUCCCUGAAUAGUUUUGUUCAAUUUGCAAACCAUGUUUUUAAGAGCUUCCAUUAGAAACAGAAUUUGGCCACUCUGCAUACGAUGGUGUGCUGUGUUCUACUUGAUAAUAGCACAUGCCAUGUUUGGCUUUCGGAAAUUUUUAUGGAUACAUCUGUCUUGCACCUGACAAUCUCAAUAUGCGCCGACUGACAAAUUGUAUAAUGGUAAUCUGAUUAAUGCUCUGAUAAUUUGUAACCCGGUAACUGUGCAUAACUGAACAAAUGUAUAGCUUCUAAAACCAAAGCUGUUCGCAACUUCAUGCUAUGAUCCAUUUAUUCAUUUUCUGGGUUCUUGAUUGUAUUUUGCUACAUUUAAAGAGGUCUUGAGACCAUUUUCAUGUUUGUUUUGUACUGGACACCCAUGUACAUGGUGGUUUCUGUUGUUAAUGGGUUAGGUUCUGUUGAAGUGUUCAAUCGUCUUGUAUGUUAUGGUCGCCUGACCUUCUAUUAGGAGGUGGUUGGUAAGAGCUGGAAAUUUCAGAUACCGUCUUUGUCAGAGCUACUGGUUGUUUGACCUUAAUCACCCUCAACUGUUGAUGUAAUAUCUUGUUGGAAGGGAGGACUUUAAGCUAAACUGUUGGGGGGCAUAUCUGCUGCUGGAACUUCCUCUUCUUUAGGUGGACCAAGGAGCUCGCUGAUUUACAAGAGUUGGGACUGGAAGUGCUGCUGCCUCUGCUGCUGAUGGGGGUCAUCAAGUUUGUGGCUUCUGUUUCCUGAUCAGCUGUCUGGUAUGUUUAUUAUACUGUUGGUGACUUGGCUAUUUGCAUCCAACCCUCAGCAUUAGCGGUGAAUGGUUGUCACUCAUGAUCUGUCUUGCACUUGACAACCCUUGGAACUAGCGGUUUGAAUGCAUGACAGGUUUUGGUACUUGCAUGUGGCUUGCAAGGUAAGGUUGUCACUCAUGAUCUGUUCAUAUGUGGCUUCUCAAAUGAUCCAGCUGUUACUCAUGGCUUCUCAUAUGAUCAAAGUGAUGUGAUUCCGUUUCGAUGUUUUCUUAAUGAUAUCAGGAGUCUAAUUGGAUGUUCUCUCUUGCCAUGUGAUACCUUAGCUGCGGAUAUCUGUUGAUUGGUAUCUUCUAUCCCAAUUUUCAUUGCUGUAACUUUAACCAGUUUUGAAGCAGUAAAUUUUUUCUAUAUCCCAGUUUUGGUAGUUUGUUUUCCAGUAUCCUAUUGGAACUCAUUUUUGCAGAUUAGCUGAUCGGAUGGUGUCAUGAACUUUUGGUUGGACCAUUAAACCAAAUGUGUUUUCUUAGGUUGCAUGCAGGACACUGAAAUUUCAUUGAUUUGUGGAUGAAGUUUUAGCUGUUUCCUGUAGAUGCUUCUCACCUAAAAUUCUAUAUUGCUUCUCUAUCUUUUUGUUGUAUAUGUUCUUUAUCCUUUUAAGCACUCUUUCCAUGUUUUUCCCCCCUUUCAACAUGGAAUAUAGUGGGAUUCUUUAAGUAUCCAGUUUUGUUUUCUGGAGCAAAAAGUGGUUUAUCGAUUUGAUUUUAUUGCACCGUGGAUUGUGGUAUCAUCUAUAUAAGCUUUUUUGU